CAGAAGUCAUUUUUUCUCUUCUUCUUUUCUUUUUCGACUGUCUCCUCUUUCAACGCUGACGAAAGCUUAUUACGGACGGUUGAAAUGUCUACAGUUGUGCGUUGUUUCACGCGUCGAGUGUACAUGAUAAAGCAUAUAUACAAGGGCAAAGGUGGCGCGUGAAUCGCGCGAAACAACAAAUCUGUCGAUCCAGUUUACCAACUGCACUUAACCUAUUUUCGUCCGGAAAUUACAUCGGUAGGACGCACACACCUCUACGUAUAUCUCGAUUGAAAACACGAUCGUCAUUCGUGGAUGAAGAAUCUCCGGUUACCAGUUGAGUUACAGCCGCAACCACCGCUUUUUCAUCAAAGAAAUCUCUUAACGUGUCAUUGAAUUAAAAACGAUGACAUUUCACCGUUCGCUGAUCGACGUGUAUUUUUCUCGGCAUAAAUAUCUGAAGAAUCGUUCGUGUAUCGAUAUACACGGUAUACAAUAUACAUAUAUAUGUACAAUAUAC
rnacentral:misc_RNA from 1 species